rnacentral:misc_RNA from 1 species
GCAAAGUCCCCAUUACGCCCGCAGUCGCCUUGGGGAAACGACAGGCGGAGGUUCUUGCUUCUUUGUCUGGUAGCCGUUGUACUAAGACGAUUUAAAAUCUUUGAUCGGGCAACCGCUCAAAGCCGGCACAUCCGAAACCGGCCACAGUCGUGGGGAAAAACCAUGGAGAAUAUCAGAGCCAAGUGGCUUACGUUCUACGCUGACCAUGUCGAACCAGCCUCGAAGGAAAUGUUUGGUCACGUCGAGAAAAUGAUCGUGGCUACAUUGGUGAUAUCGGCAGGGGGG